CUACUCUGGUUUCUCUUCAUAGCGCACAAGUCUUUCACCUUUUACUAAAGACUUCCAUGGAGAGGAGCAUCAACGAGUUGAAGCAAUAUUUUGGGGGCAGCCGUGGCCUAGAGGUUGG